CAAGCCAUCCUCCAACCUGAGCCUCCCGAGUAGCUGGGACUGCAGACAUGUGCCACUAUGCCUAGAUAAACUUUUGUAGUUUUUGCAGAGGCAGGGUUUCACUGUAUUGCCCACGCUGGUCUUAAACUCCUGAGCUCAAGUGAUCCUCCCACCUCACCCUCCCAAAGUUCUGAGACUACAGGCUUGAGCACUGUGCCUGCCCUGGCCUUCUUAACCACUAUGUUUGUUACCUU
rnacentral:lncRNA from 1 species